GAUGAACGCUGGCGGCGUGCCUAAUACAUGCAAGUCGAGCGAACAGACGAGGAGCUUGCUCCUCUGACGUUAGCGGCGGACGGGUGAGUAACACGUGGAUAACCUACCUAUAAGACUGGGAUAACUUCGGGAAACCGGAGCUAAUACCGGAUAAUAUAUUGAACCGCAUGGUUCAAUAGUGAAAGACGGUUUUGCUGUCACUUAUAGAUGGAUCCGCGCCGCAUUAGCUAGUUGGUAAGGUAACGGCUUACCAAGGCAACGAUGCGUAGCCGACCUGAGAGGGUGAUCGGCCACACUGGAACUGAGACACGGUCCAGACUCCUACGGGAGGCAGCAGUAGGGAAUCUUCCGCAAUGGGGGGAAGCCUGACGGAGCAACGCCGCGUGAGUGAUGAAGGUCUUCGGAUCGUAAAACUCUGUUAUUAGGGGAGAACAGAUGUGUAAGUAACUAUGCACGUCUUGACGGUACCUAAUCAGAAAGCCACGGCUAACUACGUG
rnacentral:rRNA from 1 species